CUGGCGGCAGGCCUAACACAUGCAAGUCGAGCGCUCACUUCGGUGGGAGCGGCGGACGGGUUAGUAACGCGUGGGAAUAUACCCGGUACUAAGGAAUAGCCUUUGGAAACGAAGAGUAAUACCUUAUACGCCCUUCGGGGGAAAGAUUUAUCGGUAUCGGAUUAGCCCGCGUAAGAUUAGAUAGUUGGUGGGGUAAUGGCCUACCAAGUCUACGAUCUUUAGCUGGUUUUAGAGGAUGAUCAGCAACACUGGGACUGAGACACGGCCCAGACUCCUACGGGAGGCAGCAGUGGGGAAUCUUAGACAAUGGGCGCAAGCCUGAUCUAGCCAUGCCGCGUGAGUGAAGAAGGCCUUAGGGUCGUAAAACUCUUUCGCCAGAGAUGAUAAUGACAGUAUCUGGUAAAGAAACCCCGGCUAACUCCGUGCCAGCAGCCGCGGUAAUACGGAGGGGGUUAGCGUUGUUCGGAAUUACUGGGCGUAAAGCGCACGUAGGCGGACUGGAAAGUUGGGGGUGAAAUCCCGGGGCUCAACCUCGGAACUGCCUCCAAAACUAUCAGUCUAGAGUUCGAGAGAGGUGAGUGGAAUUCCAAGUGUAGAGGUGAAAUUCGUAGAUAUUUGGAGGAACACCAGUGGCGAAAGCGGCUCACUGGCUCGAUACUGACGCUGAGGUGCGAAAGUGUGGGGAGCAAACAGGAUUAGAUACCCUGGUAGUCCACACCGUAAACGAUGAAUGCCAGUCGUCGGCAAGUAUACUUGUCGGUGACACACCUAACGGAUUAAGCAUUCCGCCUGGGGAGUACGGUCGCAAGAUUAAAACUCAAAAGGAAUUGACGGGG
rnacentral:rRNA from 1 species